ACAGCAGUAGCCACGGUAAUACAGAGGGUGCGAGCGUUAAUCGGAUUUACUGGGCGUAAAGCGUGCGUAGGCGGCUUCUUAAGUCGGAUGUGAAAUCCCUGAGCUUAACUUAGGAAUUGCAUUCGAUACUGGGAAGCUAGAGUAUGGGAGAGGAUGGUAGAAUUCCAGGUGUAGCGGUGAAAUGCGUAGAGAUCUGGAGGAAUACCGAUGGCGAAGGCAGCCAUCUGGCCUAAUACUGACGCUGAGGUACGAAAGCAUGGGGAGCAAAUGGGAUUAGAUACCCCUGUAGUCCCUGUCUCUUAUAC
rnacentral:rRNA from 1 species